rnacentral:rRNA from 1 species
CCUACGGUGGGCUGCAGUGGGGAAUAUUGGACAAUGGGCGAAAGCCUGAUCCAGCCAUGCCGCGUGUGUGAAGAAGGCCUUCGGGUUGUAAAGCACUUUCAGUGGGGAAGAAAGCCUUGGGGCUAAUACCCUCGAGGAAGGACAUCACCCACAGAAGAAGCACCGGCUAACUCCGUGCCAGCAGCCGCGGUAAUACGGAGGGUGCGAGCGUUAAUCGGAAUUACUGGGCGUAAAGCGCGCGUAGGCGGUCUGAUAAGCCGGUUGUGAAAGCCCCGGGCUCAACCUGGGAACGGCAUCCGGAACUGUCAGGAUAGAGUGCAGGAGAGGAAGGUAGAAUUCCCGGUGUAGCGGUGAAAUGCGUAGAGAUCGGGAGGAAUACCAGUGGCGAAGGCGGCCUUCUGGACUGACACUGACGCUGAGGUGCGAAAGCGUGGGUAGCAAACAGGAUUAGAUACCCUAGUAGUC